CCUACGGGCGGCAGCAGUGAGGAAUAUUGGUCAAUGGACGAGAGUCUGAACCAGCCAAGUAGCGUGAAGGAUGAAUGCCCUAGGGGUUGUAAACUUCUUUUAUAUGGGAAUAAAAUGAUUGACGUGUGGGAUUGUGUAUGUACCAUAUGAAUAAGGAUCGGCUAACUCAGUGCCAGCAGCCGAGGUAAUACGGAGGAUACGAGCGUUACUCGGAUUUAUUGGGUUUAAAGGGAGCGUAGGUGGAUUGUUAAGUCAGGUGUGAAAGUUUGCGGCUCAACCGUAAAAGUGCAGUUGAAACUGGCAGUCUUGAGUACAGUAGAGGUGGGCGGAAUUCGUGGUGUAGCGGUGAAAUGCUUAGAUAUCACGAAGAACUCCGAUUGCGAAGGCAGCUCACUGGCCUGCAACUGACACUGAGGCUCGAAAGUGUGGGUAUCAAACAGGAUUAGAUACCCCUGUAGUC
rnacentral:rRNA from 1 species